rnacentral:misc_RNA from 1 species
GUGAAUCAUCGAAUUUUUGAAAGCAAAUUGCGCUUCCUGGCAUCCCGGGAAGGAUGCCUGUUUGAGGGUCAGUAUUAACAAAAAAUCGGUUUGGUUGAAAAUUGUGACGUUUCCGGAGGUUGGGCUAUCUUAACUUUUUUGGGUAAGGGGGUUAAAAUUGACCUUUUUUGCGCAGUUUUAGACGUACAUAAAUUUUUUUUUGUUUGGUCUAUUCUUAAUGC